rnacentral:rRNA from 1 species
UGGGGAAUUUUGGACAAUGGGGGAAACCCUGAUCCAGCCAUCCCGCGUGUGCGAUGAAGGCCUUCGGGUUGUAAAGCACUUUUGGCAGGAAAGAAACGUCGCGGGUUAAUACCCCGCGAAACUGACGGUACCUGCAGAAUAAGCACCGGCUAACUACGUGCCAGCAGCCGCGGUAAUACGUAGGGUGCAAGCGUUAAUCGGAAUUACUGGGCGUAAAGCGUGCGCAGGCGGUUCGGAAAGAAAGAUGUGAAAUCCCAGAGCUUAACUUUGGAACUGCAUUUUUAACUACCGGGCUAGAGUGUGUCAGAGGGAGGUGGAAUUCCGCGUGUAGCAGUGAAAUGCGUAGAUAUGCGGAGGAACACCGAUGGCGAAGGCAGCCUCCUGGGAUAACACUGACGCUCAUGCACGAAAGCGUGGGGAGCAAACAGGAUUAGAUACCCUGGUAGUCCACGCCCUAAACGAUGUCAACUAGCUGUUGGGGCCUUCGGGCCUUGGUAGCGCAGCUAACGCGUGAAGUUGACCGCCUGGGGGAGUACGGUCGCAAGAUUAAAACUCAAAUGAA